rnacentral:snoRNA from 1 species
AAACCAUGAUGAGGGCACUAUAAGAGAAGGUCUUUGAAACGUUCCAUACAUACAAAGAAUGAUUCAUUGGGUCGCUGACGAAACUAGAGAAUGUCGUUCCUAAGUUU